GCUUAGAUGCUAUUUUACUUCAAUAAUUCUGAGCUUGCACUUACUUUGACUACUUAUCUCAGUUUCCUUUCUGUGUAAAUCUUGGCACAGUCGUUGCUCAUUUUUAUUUAUUAUGUUAUUUAGGUUGAGGUCCAUUAUGUGGGCAAGGAAAUGGAUUAGAUUUUAUCAAGCAAUAUAGUCAGGUUGAACGGAUGUUUGCUGCUGCAACCAAAGGUGGUUCAGAUGAUGCGACUCCAGAGUAUAUGGUCAAGUGGCAGGGACUAUCCUAUGUUGAAGUGACCUGGGAAAGAGACAUAGAUAUUGCAUUUGGUCAGGAUGCUGUUGAUGAGUACAAGGCCAGGGAGGACGACCGCCCAAGGGAAAAUGGUGGAUUUCCAGUGGAAAAAAAGCAGAGAUAGUCUUAGGAAGCUGGGUGAACGGCCUGACUGGCUGAAAGGACGAAAAGUUAUGAUCAUCAGCCUGAGGGGGUGAGACGUUGAGUUUUCGUGUUAAUAGCUUAGUUGGAGAAAUGAUACAAAUGUUACUCCGGCUGAUGAAAUGGGGCACGGUAAAACUGUUCAGUCUGUCUCAAUGCUGGAAUUUCUACAGACUGCCCAACAAAUUCGUGGCCCAUUUCUUGUCGUCGUACCGUUGUCAACUAUGUCUAACUGGAAAAAAAUGUAAGAAGUGGCUUCCUGAAAUGAACGUUGUUGUAUACGUUGGAAAUCGUGCUAGCUUGAGAGGUUUGUGAGCAGCACAAGUUUUACACAAAUAGCAAAAGUGGCAGGAUUAUCAAAUUCCAUGCUCCAUUGACAACACAUGAAGUAGUUCUGAAGGACAAAGCUGUGCUAACCAAGAUAAAGUGGAGCUACCUUAUGGUUGAUGAGGCACACAGGCUGAAAAAAUAGUGAAGCAUCUCUUUAUAUAACACUAUCGGAAUUUAGCACCAAGAACAAGUUACUAAUCACUGGUGCUCCUUUACAAAACAGUGUCGAAGAGCUAUGGGCCUUUCUUCAUUUCCCCGACCCUGUGAAGUUCAAGAGCAAGGAUGAGUUUUCUGAGAAGUACAAAAACCUGAGCUCUUUUAAUGUACUUGAGCUUGCAAAUCUGCAUAAGGAACUGAGUGCAAAGAGUUAUUAAGGAUGUGGAGAAGUCCUUGCCUCCGAGAUUUGAACGUGAACAAAGGAGUCCGUGAAUACGUGAGAAUCAGGCAAACAUCUCCGACUUUGAGAAGUGUUUGGAUAUAGUUGCUGGUUUGCAAGCUGACAAGGGUACUGGCAUAAAUUCGCUAGCCCCAUCAAGGAGUCAGACUUUGUGUGUCCAUGGUUGAGAACAGAAAUCAUGCUGGAAUACACAAGUGAAGAGGCCAGUGCUUUUCUACAAAAAAAUCUUGAUAAUGCUAACGCAAGCAUAGUGGUCCAUAUUGCUGAUCUACAAUUCUUGAGGGACCAAUUGACGAUAACACAGGUCACUAUCACUCGGGUGUACAUGGGAUGUUCACCAGCACAGAAUUAAGCUAAGUUGUGGUACCCUCCCUCCCCCUCCAGCUGAUGCCUCCAAACUUGCCACAUGUUGUCUUUGGGCCUCCUGGUAUUCAUCAUCAGCAACAGUUGCAUCAGCUUCCACACCAAUCGCUCAGGUCCUGUCUCAGCAAACACAAGCUUUACAAUUAGCUUUCAGUCAUCACAACAAGCAUGCCCUCAGCUACAGCAAAAGUUCCAUAUGUUGCGUUAAUCUGGUCAGAACUUAUCUCAGCCGCCGAAUGCCCAGGCAACUAAACUAUACAGUUUUGACCAGUGUAUCAUGGAUUUGAGUGCCCCACUGUAAACUGGGACGAUGGCGGUUUUAUCUAUACAUGUCGCUUUUUGACUGUAUAUUUUCCGUUGCAGUCUCCAUGGCCAGGAUAUACAUUCCUCAAGGGCAGACAGUUCCCAACAGUCUUUCUAAUGCAGCUGCUGUGCCUGGGUCUUCAACAACAGCCGCUACGACUCCCGCUUCAGCACCUGUAGGUGGGCAGGUUGCACUUCCACCUUGUAAUUGGAUAGAACACACCGCUCGUGAAGGGUACAAGUACUACAGUGUAACUAGUGAAAGCAGGAGGGAGAAGCCCGAGUAGCACAAAUUACCUCAUCCACAAAAACCUCCGGUUCAACUGUUUCAAUCUCAGUCACAACAAAGUCAGAUUCGAAGAGAAUGGAUUCUGAAGCAACAUGCCAGCUAAAGCUUGUGUACCCGAGGAGAGUAGGUUUAUGCCACAUUUAUGAAAUGAGUGAUACAAAGAUGGUCAGCGAAAUGUAUGGUAGAGAAUGCAUGCUAACAAGAGCAGAAGUUUGAGGACUGGAAGCUGUAUGUUGUUCAGUUUGAGCUUCACCCUUGAACUUGUCGAAGUUUUACAACUUCAAUAACACUUUAAAUGGAAAGUUUUCACAAAAGAAAGUCCAAAGGUUAACAAAUUCUGUAAUAUUGCGCUGAUUUGAUUUAGGAAUGCAUACU